rnacentral:antisense_RNA from 1 species
CUUGAGCGAGCCGAGCAGGAGUUCGCGGCCGCGCGGCCGGCCCUGCCCGUACGUGGCCAGGAUCGCCUGCGCCUC